GUAGAAGGUAUUCGGUAGUGAUCCAUCUGUUUCAAUUUUGUGGAAUAGUUUGGAUAAUAUUGGUAUGAGGUCUUCUAUGAAGGUCUGAUAGAAUUCUGCACUAAACCCGUCUGGACCUGGGCUCUUUUUGGUUGGGAGACCUUUAAUGACUGCUUCUAUUUCUUUAGGAGUUAUGGGGUUGUUUAACUGGUUUAUCUGUUCCUGAUUUAACUUUGAUACCUGGUAUCUGUCUAGGAAAUUGUCCAUUUCCUGAAGAUUUUCAAGUUUUGUUGAAUAUAGGUUUUUAUAGUAAGAUCUGAUGAUUUUUUGUAUUUCCUCUGAAUCUGUAGUUAUGUCUCCCUUUUCAUUUCUGAUUUUGUUAAUUUGGACGCACUCUCUGUGUCCUCUCGUUAGUCUGGCUAAUGGUUUAUCUAUCUUGUUGAUUUUCUCAAAGAACCAAGUUUUGGUUCUGUUGAUUCUUUCUAUGGUCCUUUUUGUUUCUACUUGGUUGAUUUCAGCUCUGAGUUUGAUUAUUUCCUGCCUUCUACUCCUCCUGGGUGUAUUUGCUUCUUUUUGUUCUAGGGCUUUUAGGUGUGCUGUCAAGCUGCUGACAUAUGCUCUUUCCUGUUUCUUUCUGCAGGCACUCAGCGCUAUGAGUUUUCCUCUUAGCACAGCUUUCAUUGUGUCCCAUAAGUUUGGGUAUGUUGUAUCUUCAUUUUCAUUAAAUUCUAAAAAGUUUUUAAUUUCUUUCUUUAUUUCUUCCUUGACCAGGUUAUCAUUGAGUAGAGCAUUGUUCAAUUUCCACGUAUAUGUGGGCAUUCUUCCCUUAUUGUUAUUGAAGACCAGUUUUAGGCCGUGGUGGUCCGAUAGCACGCAUGGGAUUAUUUCUAUCUUUCUGUACCUGGUGAGGCCCGUUUUUUGACCAAUUAUAUGGUCAAUUUUGGAGAAAGUACCAUGAGGAGCUGAGAAGAAGGUAUAUCCUUUUGCUUUAGGAUAGAAUGUUCUAUAAAUAUCCGUUAAGUCCAUUUGGCUCAUGACUGCUCUUAGUCUGUCGACAUCUCUGUUUAAUUUCUGUUUCCAUGAUCUGUCCAUUGAUGAGAGUGGGGUGUUGAAAUCUCCCACUAUUAUUGUGUGAGGUGCAAUGUGUGUUUGAGCUUUAGUAAGGUUUCUUUUAUGUACGUAGGUGCCCUUGUAUUUGGGGCAUAGAUAUUUAGGAUUGAGAGUUCAUCUUGGUGGAUUUUUCCUUUGAUGAAUAUGAAGUGUCCUUCCUUAUCUUAUGACUUUUAGUUGAAAAUUGAUUUUAUUUGAUAUUAGAAUGGCUACUCCAGCUUGCUUCUUCUGACCAUUUGCUUGGAAAGUUGUUUUCCAGCCUUUCACUCUGAGGUAGUGUCUGUCUUUGUCUCUGAGGUGUGUUUCCUGUAGGCAGCAGAAUGCAGGGUCCUCGUUGAGUAUCCAGUUUGUUAAUCUAUUUCUUUUUAUUGGGGAGUUGAGGCCAUUGAUGUUGAGAGAUAUUAAGGAAUAGUGAUUAUUGCUUCCCGUUAUAUUCAUAUUUGGAUGUGAGGUUAUGUUUGUGUGCUUUCAUUCUCUUUGUUUUGUUGCCAAGACGAUUAGUUUCUUGCUUCUUCUAGGGUAUAGCUUGCCUCCUUAUGUUGGGCUUUACCCUUUAUUAUCCUUUGUAGUGCUGGAUUUGUAGAAAGAUAUUGUGUAAAUUUGGUUUUGUCAUGGAAUAUCUUGGUUUCUCCAUCUAUGUUAAUUGAGAGUUUUGCAGGAUACAGUAACCUGGGCUAUCAUUUGUGUUCUCUUAGGGUCUGUAUGACAUCAUUCCAGGACCUUCUGGCCUUCAUAGUUUCUGGCGAGAAGUCUGGUGUGAUUCUGAUAGGUCUCCCUUUAUAUGUUACUUGACCUUUUUCCCUUACUGCUUUUAAUAUUCUUUCUUUAUUUUGUGCGUUUGGUGUUUUAACAAUUAUGUGACGGGAGGUGUUUCUUUUCUGGUCCAGUCUAUUUGGAGUUUUGUAGGCUUCUUGUAUGUCUAUGGGUAUCUCUUUUUUUAGGUUAGGGAAGUUUUCUUCUAUGAUUUUGUUGAAGAUAUUUACUGGUCCUUUGAGCUGGGAGUCUUCACUCUCUUCUAUACCUAUUAUCCUUAGGUUUGAUCUUCUCAUUGAGUCCUGGAUUUCCUGUAUGUUUUGGACCAGUAGCUUUUUCCGCUUUACAUUAUCUUUGACAGUUGAGUCAAUGAUUUCUAUGGAAUCUUCUGCUCCUGAGAUUCUCUCUUCCAUCUCUUGUAUUCUGUUGGUGAAGCUUGUAUCUACAGCUCCUUGUCUCUUCUUUUGGUUUUCUAUAUCCAGGGUUGUUUCCAUGUGUUCUUUCUUGAUUGCUUCUAUUUCCAUUUUUAAUUCCUUCAACUGUUUGAUUGUGUUUUCCUGGAAUUCUUUCAGGGAUUUUUGCGAUUCCUCUCUGUAGGCUUCUACUUGUUCUCUAAGGGAGUUCUUCAUGUCUUUCUUGAAGUCCUCCAGCAUCAUGAUCAAAUAUGAUUUUGAAACUAGAUCUUGCUUUUCUGGUGUGUUUGGAUAUUCCAUGUUUGUUUUGAUGGGAGAAUUGGGCUCCGAUGGUGCCAUAUAGUCUUGGUUUCUGUUGCUUGGGUUCCUGCGCUUGCCCCUCGCCAUCAGAUUAUCUCUAGUGUUGCUUUGUUCUGCUAUUUCUGACAGUGGCUAUACUGUCCUAUAAGCCUGUGUGUCAGGAGUGCUGUAGACCUGUUUUCCUGUUUUCUUUCAGCCUGUUAUGGGGACAGAGUGUUCUGCUCUUGGGAGUGUAGUUUUUCCUCUCUACAGGUCUUCAGCUGUUCCUGUGGGCCUGUGUCUUGAGUUCACCAGGCAGGUCACUUGCAGCAGAAAUGUUGGUCUUACCUGUGGUCCUAAGGCUCAAGUUUGCUCGCGGGGUGCUGCCCAUGAGCUCUCUGCGGCGGCAGCAACCAGGAAGAUCUAGGCCGCCGUUUCCGGGAGUUUCAGUGCACCAGAGUUCCAGAUGGCCUUUGGUGUUUUCCUCUGGCGUCCGAGAUGUGUGUGCAGAGAGCAGUCUCUUCUGGUUUCCCAGGCUUGUCUGCCUCUCUGAAGGUUUAGCUCUCCCUCCCACGGGAUUUGGGUGCAGAGAACUGUUUAUCCGGUCUGUUUCCUUCAGAUUCCGGCGGUGUCUCAGGCAGGGGUCCUAUCGCUCCUGGGCCCUCCCCCAUGGGAGCCCAGAGGCCUUAUACAGUUUCCUCUUGGGCCAGGGAUGUGGGCAGGGGUGGGCAGUGUUGGUGGUCUCUUCCGCUCUGCAGCCUCAGGAGUGCCCACCUGACCAGGCGGUUGGGUCUCUCUCUCACGGGGUCUGGGAGCAGAGAGCUGCUGCAGGCCGGGAUCCGCGGGUGUGGGACUUCCGGUAAACACAGGACGUGCCCGGUCCUAGAGGAAUUCUGCCUCCGUGUGUCCCGAGCUCACCAGGGAGUUUUCUUGCAGCAGAAAAGUUGGUCUUACCUGUGGUCCCGAGGCUCAAGAUCGCUCGUGGGGUGCUGCCCACGGGCUCUCUACAGCGGCAGCAACCAGGAAGAUAUGUGCCCCCCUUCCGGGAGCUUCAGUGCACCAGGAUUCCAGAUGGCCUUUGGUGUUUUCCUCUGGCGUCCGAGAUGUUAGUGCAGAGAGCAGUCUCUUCUGGUUUCCCAGGCGUGUCUGCCUCUCUGAGGGUUUAGCUCUCCCUCCCACGGGAUUUGGGUGCAGAGAACUGUUUAUCUGGUCUGUUUCCUUCAGGUUCCAGCGGUGUCUCCUGAUGAACAUUUUAUCACGCAUUUUAUUGCACUUUUUGGAAUGACAAAUACAAGUUUAAAUGUUACUAAAAAUAAAGUCAGGAAGAAGGAAAAGAGGAAAAGGUAUUGGCCAAGUCAGGAAACCAUGCACUAGUCUGAUGCCUGGCAAUCCAAUCAGUGGCCAUCUAAGAGAACCAUAACCCCAUUAGUCGAGCCUUACUAACCUGAGUAGGAAGUACCAGCCUGGAGUCCUGGAAAGAGCCAUCCAGAUUUAUAGCCUAUCCCAGUUCCUCUAAUCGAGGCUGUUUUCUCCCCUGAUGCUGUAGUCAAUCAGUAAUUAAUUUGAAAUCCAAAGUUUCAUUAAGUGUUAUUGAAUUCUCUCACGCUGACAUUUGGAGUGCUAUAUUUCUUUAAAAUCACAAACCAUUUUUCAUACUGUCGUUGGCGUAUUUUAGCAGGGGAGGCUGCAGCUCUCGCAUAAAUGACCCAGUUUUCUGGAUGUUUACUUGACUGUCAUUAACUGAUUAUUCUCCCCUUCCACUUCAUUGCAUCCUUGUUCUUUGCCAGUGUUUUGAAAUUGUAUUUAAAACAUCAUCACCGCAUGUGAAUCCUAUCUAAAGUAUAAAUAAAUUUAACUGGGCGAGCUAUUUCCAAAACAGUGCCAGCCCUUUGAAGGCCUGGUCUUAUGCAGCGCAGUGUCCUAAGACUUCCUGUCAGAAAUGGGUUUGGGAUGUUGAAAGCGUGGCCAGGACUGGGGGCGAGAAGACAGAAGCACCAUAUGGAUAUACCGACAUAGAGGCGUAGAAGAGGAGACGCAGACCGAGCCAGAAGGAAUCAGGCAUGGUUUGUUUGUUUCUCGGAGGGUGAAUGAAAGCAAAGAUACUUUUUAUGAUUCAACUUGAGUUUGCUAUAUGGUGGAAGGUCACUUUUGCAGGGGAGUUUUGUUUGAAAAGUGCCCUGUGGACUACCUAAAUAAUAUUUUUUUUAUGAAAAAUUUUUAGCUGAAAAGAUUUUUUUUCUCAAGGUUACAAAGGUCUGGUUUCUCUUCGAAACAUUGGAAGGAAAGACAAGGAUUUGCUAGCCCGGAGUAGAACUUCCUCCAUCUUGGGUGAAGUGAUGCUCACUCCGUCUCUUCCGUAUGUCGGUUCUGUUUUACCAGCCAGCCGUCUUCCCUCUUUAAAUAUCUACUCUUCCCUUUUUAAUGUGCACUUAUAAUACAGUACAUGAACAUCUUAUUUAAUUUUCUUAUGUGUUCUUCACUGUCCCCAGAGGGAUGCCUUCUGAGUUCUUAUGUUGUGAUGCUUGGGACACAGAGCUCUGUGUACCCAAGCAAGGGCUCUACCACUAGCUACCUGUAUAUGCUAGGAAGGGCUAUACCAUUAGCUCCCUUUCAACUUUGAAUUCUGAUAGAGAACUCUUUUGACACCAUGACAGCAGGCCUCUGGUAAACAUUCCCUGACAUGCCGUGGGCGUGAACAUAUCUAUGGCCUGGCUAGAGGCUGAGUUUGUAUCUUUUGCUCACUGGGGUCCUAUUGAGCUCCCCCAUACAUGCUUCUCCAGUUACCUCAAGCUGGUCAGGGGCGUCGGCCCUCUCUGUAAGUUGCAAGCAAACUGUCCUACCCCACAGACGUUCUGACCCUUAGUCUAAGGAGUCAGCUUGAGCAUCAUGUCCUGUGUGAGACUUUUCUCGUGUGGCUGACCUACAGGAACUCAGUCCUUCUCUAAAACUGACAGGGGCUCCUGUGUGGCAAUCAAACCAUGCCGUUGGCAAGCAAUAGAGAUGUGACUUUAUGACUCUGUGAUCCAGCCCCGGCUCCCCUAUCACUGCUAAGUGAUGGUCACUAAGUGACCUCCCAGUCAUGUCUCUUCAACGGUUGGUUUCGAUGCUGUGGACACUUUCCAGAGAUCUCCACAGAACAUGGUGCAAGCAACGACUUGAAACCAAAGCAUUUGAGAGGAAGAGGCAGGAGGAGCAGCAAUUCAAGACUGUCCUCAGCUAGAGAAUGGCCAGCCUGGGCUCUGUGAGACCUUGUCUCAGAAUACAAGACCAAAACAAAUUGGGAGAGAAAUAAGGACUGAAUUCUACUCCAGAUAAGUCAUCCUGCUUCCCUUUCCUUGGCCUCACAAAUGCAGGGUGCAAGCUAAGACGAGAGAGGUGGCAUUGCCACGCCAAAGCUGCCUUUUCUUAGGCACACCCUGCCUUGGUGUGGUCCAAGCUUGACUCUUUGUCUUAUCCUAGCAUUUAUUUUCCAGCAGGAUGGAGGCAGAUGGAAUUUACCGUGAGGACUUCUCAAAUCUUUACAUAAUAACCCCUGAAGACAGUAAGAAAAAAAAAUAGUUUAACCGGAUGAUUGUACCUCUUAACCACAUCUGUAAUGAAACUGAAUGUAUUGUUAGCUGGUUAAAAUAUUCCAUUAAGCAAGGAGGUAGGCCUACCUUACGGUAAAUACACUUAAGUGUUUAUAGUACAUUUCAUAUUUUACAUGAUUUCCUUUAUAAUUCUGCUUAUCUUUUCAUUUUAAUUCCCUGGAGGACAUAUAAAAGAACCCCUAAAGAGAGUAAUUACUGCUGCGCUUUUUAACCAAGGCUUCCUUUGCAGAGAGGAAUCUGAGCUGCUUUUUAAAGAAGGCCGGUUUUUUAAAUAAAAAUGCAAAUAAGCCUCUUUGUACCCACAUUAAUUACCCACCUAGCCUCUUAUUACCAUGUUUGUAUUGUUUGCAAAUACUAUUUACAGUCGUGUGGAAAUUAACAUUACUGGUCCUAAGGAAUGAUGGUGGUGGGGAAGGUUGUGCUUUGGAACCAAUUAGGAUGAACCUUGUCUCCACAGACACUCUGGGGGAAAGCGCAGCCUUGCCGUGUCAAAUAAUAGCAUUAGCACCGACUGCAUGGGCAGAGCAUCGUAAUUAUAUUAUUGGCCCUAUUUUGCUUCUGCAACGAAUUUCAUCGCCUGCAUUGUAAAAUCAGCAGGCAGCGAAGUUUCUGCUAAUGAUUUAAUGUGCUCUCUGAUCAUUUUGGACAAAAGUCACUGGGACAUCCACCAGGGGGUUUCAUCACCCCCACUUAACCACUGCCUGGCUCGAGCCCUGUAAGUUGGAACACAACACACUUCUUAAUGCCCUCGUCUUUUAGUGGAAGCCUUCCUCCAUGAUAUAUCACUCUGAAAAGAGAUCAUACGGAUGAAGGUUGGGGUACGUGCCCUGCAGAAAACCAGAAGUUCCUGUGCGUUUCAGCUUAGCCCCAUAUUGCUUCAAGCCCUAGGCCUCUGGGGUUUACUCUGACACAACAUUCACAGGAAGCAGCUUAACGGAUGGACGGGAUGGCUCUUUUAGCUCACGGUUCAGAGGGCCCUGUUCAUCACGUCAGGGAUGACAUGGCGGUGGGAGUAUGUUGGUCUGUGGUGUCUUCUCAUAGCCCCCAGAUCAGGAAGGGAACAUGUGACUGUCAAGCUUUAACCAUCAAAGGCUCAGUGUGGUGAUACACAUCUGCCAGCCGUACCUCUCACCCUCUGUGUUCCUCACGAAAGAAGGUCAUCAGCUUGGAAACAGAAGCUUCGACAUACGAGGCUGACAGGGAAUUUCACACCCAAACCCUGACAGCCGCCCUGUCAUCUAUAGUCUCAUCUGCAGAAGCGAACCAAGGCAUAACUGGGAAAGAAACUCAGCCCCGGUUUCAUAGCUUUCAGGUGGCAGAGGCAGGACCCAGCCUCAGGGGCUACCUGAUGGCAAAGUCACCUGACUCAUGUGUAACAGUUCCUCAUCGGACCUGACAGCCAGCCUCAGUGUGCACGCAGCAUCUGGGUGACAGUGUAAUUAGCCCUCUGCACAGGUCUAAUGUUUUGUAGUAUAUUUUUUUCCCAAGUCACUGAUUAAUGACUGAUGUUUGUAUUCUAUAAUUAAAAAAUUUUUUCAUCAAAACACCGAGGCAUAAAACAUUAAAAUGUUUCCCACCCGCUUUGAUGUUUGUUUGAACAUGAGCUUAAUUAUGUUGCUAUAAACACGGUCCUUUCCUUUCAGAAAACACUCGUGAAUAAUCUGCUGUGCCGUGCGUGGAGAGCGGUGUCUUCUUCAGCACUUGUCCAAAGGGGAGGAGGGGCAGGAACAUAGAGCUCUGACACCCCUCAGUGCCCCACCUGUUUACAGACACCAUUUGAUUUAAUCCUUUAAUAACCUUCUGGAAGGAUCGUCACUGUCUCCACUGGGUCAGUAAGGGAAGUGACAAUGGUGACACAUGCUGACUGCAGGAGGAGGGGAGCAGCGUGCCCGAGGCCAUGUUCCCGAUUCCUGGGCAGAAGCAGAAUUUGAAAAUGGAGCCCAUUUGUCUCAGCCAUGGGCAAAGAGCUGUCAUGGUCAUGCCCCAAGUUGCCUCCCUACUAGCACUUUUUCUUUUCUUUUAAAAACUUUUCUUCUUUUUCUUUAUCUAGCAAAUUUGUAGUUAUUGUGAUGUGAAAGACAGUUUCCACCCCUUUUGUCUAAAACUGUUGUUUCAUUUCUUUCCUCAAAACUUUGUUAGUUUAUUGUAUUUUAUGUGUACAUGUGUGCGCGUGUGCGAGUGCACUUUAUUUUAUGUGUAAACCCUGAGUGUAUGUGUGAGUACCACGUGUACGGGAAGAGCUGGAAGAGCAUAUCAUACCCUAGACCUGGAGCUGUAGGAGGCUGUGAGCUGCUUGGUGUGGGUACUGGGAACCAAGCCCCAGUCCUGUGUAAGCAAAUGCUCUUAAUUCCCGAGCCAUCUCCCCAGACCCUAGAUUGUUGUUUCUCAGCCAGAAAGUUGACUGUCCCUGGCAGCAUUGGCUGGGCAGUUUUCUCCCCCACAGGUGCCCACAUUCCUGCCCUCCAGUCCUGGGGUACCACAUCCCUCCUCAGGUUGAUGCCUUUGUGGGGCUCUACCCAAGCCAACCCUGCAGAUGGACAGCGGGAGCUCUUCUAGAACCUGCAGUUUCCUGCAAAUGCCUCUUGUUUCCUUCACAAGUGUUUGUAAUUAGUGACGAUGGGGAAUCAAGGGACUCAGAAGGGUAGCCAGAGCGAACAGUUAUGUCUUCUCACCUUCCACGAUUGUCCAUGACGUCCAUUCAACCCAGAACCGGGAGUGGGCUCGUACAGGUACUAGCGAACAAACCCAUCUCGACGUUUUGUGGUUGUCAAGCGUUUGGCCACCCCUCUUCCCUAUCCUAGUGUGUACAGUGCCAGCUGAUGUCACGUCAGGCACUGGCGGCUCUUGCUGGGAAGGACUCCGGGUUAGCUGAUCUGUCUCCCCAGCAGUAUUCCAGCUGUCUCUCAGCAGGCUUUCUCCAGUGUCCAUUUUUGCAUGGAAUAGGUCUGUAUACAUACAUUUAUCAUAUGCAUGUGUAAAUAUUUAUGUUUUGGUUUUUGCUUAUAAAUCUCCUGACAAGACCUUUGCAUGGUAAGAGGAGGCAAUGGAUAUGCCAGACUCUCCCACUGGUUCAGUUUUAGUUUUUCUUCCUAGUAUUUGUUCGAACCUAUGCCAUGGCAUAGGAGAGCUUUUAGGGAUUGGCUCCCUCCUCCUCUUAUGUGGUUUGGGGAUUAAGCUGGGGUUUCCAGGCUGACAAGGCUGGUGCCUUCGUCUGUGCUUCUUCCUCUCAAACGUCUGUUCCAUGGACUUCCGCACCGCCAUAGACAUAAUAUUUACAUCCUGUUCUAUAGCUGUGAUUAGACACCCUGUGCAUUACCUGUGCAUCGAUUGCUAAAGAGGAGAGGUAGAAGAUGAGAAAGCCAGUGUCCACACGAUGUCCACACACAUUUUAUUUUAUUUAUUUCAUUUCACAUGGACCAACAAGUGUGGUUAGCCUUCUGUUUCAUUUCUCCAUGAGCGCUUGAGUGGGUGGCCCUCAGAAUCCCGAGGGAAACUGAAGCUCACCUGGGCCCUUUCUUCUUAUGCUCUGUCAGUUGUUGCCCUCGUAACAUGGCCAUUGUUCACUGGAGGCUUACAGGAUGUAGGUCUGAGUGUCCUACACGCCACUCAGCCAUCCACUUCAAGAGUGACCUCGGCGGCCAUUCUUAUUUUCUGUCCCAUGUUCGAAUGCCGUCCCCACACCACCAAAAGAAAUAAAAUGGGGGAAGUCUCGAUUGGGCUGAAUUGUAGACUGAGGACCUCUCUUCUCUCCUGACUCGGUCUGGCAGCCGAUGGCAUCUGUGUAUGUACACUUCAGUGUCAAUGGUCAUCAACAGACUAAGCAGGCUCUAGGAGGGGCUGAUGAACGGCACGAGGGAAAAACAUUAAUUUACACAGACAGAGCCCUUUCCUAGCAGGACAAAGUUAAUUACUAAGACCAGUGACUUAAAGAAUGUCACCAGUGACCAGGUAGUCAGCAUAUAACCAAUUUCCACUUUCAGUCCUUCGAGAUGGCAAGAUAAUAUAUUCUUAAUACCUCCCCUCUUAAGUUAUGAGCAUCAACCAAGAGAUUUCUAGGGCUGGAUCUCAUGUCUGUGAUGGAACUGGGCAGAUGGAGCAGGAGUUUUGGCCACCACAUCCUUCUGCACAUGAUAGGCUGUUUAUCAUUGUAAAUGAUUGUAUUUAUUUAUUUAUUUAUUUAUGCGUGUACAUGUGCAUGUGUGCAUGUGAGUGUGUGUGUGCGCGCGCGCGUGUGUGUGUGUGUGUCUAGGAUCCUGAAGUCAGAAGCAGUAUCUGGAUCCUCUGGAGCUCGAGUUACAGGUGUUUCUGAGCUGCCCAGGGUAGGUGCACGCACCAAAUGCCACUGCUUUCUACAAGAGCAAUAAAGACUUUUUUCUUCCUUCUUGGAAAUCCACCAUAUUUAUUAUCUAGUCAUGGCUCCUCUCUCUAUCCACCUCCUAGCUCCCCAUUAUCUUCUCUCAGAGGUCACCCUAACGGCUCUGAGGGUUUUGAAGAACGGACUGCUCUACCUGCGUCUAAGUUGGCAAAGGAAAAGGGUAGCCAUUAGAAUGCCCCGGAGGAGCCUCUGCGAAGGAGCUAGGACAAAACAUAGCAGAGAACAAGGAAGGAUCCAGGCCCUAUGCCCGGCAGCCAUUUGAUGAGAGCGUGCACCCUCGGAGCUUGCUCUGUGUGUGAGCGGAUGCCAUCUGUAACGUAACACACAAAAGUGAGGCAGCGACGCUCUAAUUCCUACUCGGAGUACAGUUGGGGAAAUGGUCGGGCUCUUGUGCCCUUAUUUGAUGAAGAGGGACAGGAAAGGAGACCUUCCAAAGGACCUUGGGAGACGUUGUCAUAUGCUUUAGUGAGACAGCGAUCUCUGCCACUGUCCACUUCAAAACGUCCACCCUAGGGAAGGCAGUAGGCUUGACUUAAGAGCUUGCUAUGCUUUUUGCUGGCCAGCAUUUUCAGCAGUUGGCCAUGGGGGCUCCUCAAUUACAGCCCUGUAGGGAGCAUUGUGACUAAAGUAAGUCGUGUCUAGUAAGGUGCAAAGCAGAACCGGGCAGCUGCCUGGACCACGCACCAGAGGUGCGUAAGGCCCGUCAAACGGUCUUCUCUGUAUCAAGAUUGACGUAAAGUUUGUCUGAUAGAUCAAACUAUGCAGUCAUACUCCAGCAUAGGGAGUGCAUACCUGGAAACACUGUAGGAGAAGUCAGGUACUGUCCCAUUGGCAGUACCCUCCUAGCAGUCACUUCCUCUGUCUGUGUGCCGGAUGUGCUGUCCAGUGGGUGUGGACACUGUGGGGCAAACCUGAAUGAAAUCCAGAUGCUAUUUGUUGAGGUUAGAAGUGGACAAGGAAGCAUCUCACUGACAAUCGAAGAGAAAUAGAAUCCCGUUAGCUUUUUGGUUUUGUUUUGUUUUGUUUGGUUUGGUUUUGUUUUGUUUUAAAUGAGAUUAUCCCACUACUCGGCAUCCUGAAUAAUUUUUCCAGACUCGUGAGUUUGAUAAUAAGGUAUCUGCCAGUCUCCUUUAAUCAGGAAAUGUGGGCAGUAAGGGUGUAAAAAGAUAUAUCACAGUGGUAGGAAGCUGUCUUGCAGAGAGAGACAGCAUCCCAUAGUUGGUAAAUACAGUUUUUAAUCUUUUAAAACUUGGCCUCAGUAUUCAAGGAGAGAGGCCUGUUUUUUUCCUCUGUUGCUUAUAGACACCGCCGUACUGAUGGGAGCCAAGGUUUUGUCCUGUAUCUGAGCAGCAUAUUUUUUUUUUUUCAAGAAGAGAAUCAUUAUCGAGGAAUAAUUGUCCAAAUAACAUCUCAUUGUGGUAUGUGGCAUAAUGUCUGAGGUUGUAUUCCCUCAAAUUGCUAAUGAAACAAACUAAUCAUUCAAAUCCUGGUUAUUCUUUCUUAGUGGGUGUUUAAAGCCACGUAGUAGCCAAAAUUAACUUUCCAUUUUUUAAUCUACCAUGAAGGCCAGUUGAAGAUCUCAUCGUCAGGGCUCAUGUAGGCUUCCGAGGGGCCUCUGUCCUCUGUAACCUUUCUUUAUUAGUUAGUCUAUCUGUGUGAGGAUAAGCCAGAGGCCUUGCUUGUCCACAUUUCCACUCGAAAGUCAGAAGGAGAUUUUCCCUGUGUGUUGACUCUCCUCUCUGUAGACUGGACGCUGGUUAGAGUCUACCCCAACCAAGAGCACAGGUGACAGCCCGCAGUUAUAGGACGUUUCGGGAGAUGGCUAACAGUCUCCUGACUCAGUCGACUCUGGAGGGCAAGGAGGAAAGUGUUCAGCCAUUUAAACCUUCUGACCUCAGCAGUAUAGGCCUUCAAGUGUGAAUCCUGAAUACCCAGAGCUAGCAAACACUCUUAAUGGCCAGUCAUCCCUCCAGCUCACUAGUAGGUUUUCUAGAAUCUCUCCCCAUUUUGUAUUCUCUUGGAUGGUUUCCCAUGACUGACUUGAGCAAGCUGGGUUCAUUUUUGUCCCACUCACACUGCACAAGCACCUGGGCUGACUUUGUAUCACGGUCGUCUCAAAGUGUGAGAAAAGAAGGGAGAAAGGGAGGGUCAGUGGGAUGGAUGGACAGACGGAGUUGGCAAGCAGGCAAACAGAAGAAAGAAGCAGCCUCGUGUAGCGGCACGUGCCUGUCAUCCCAGCCCUCUGGAGGUGAGAGGAUGGAGGUUGGUCUGAGUUCCGAUGAAUGCUCUUUGAGCUACAAAGCCAGUCCCUGUCUCAAAAAGAUUCUCUCAAGGCACGAGCCUCAGUUUCCCAUCGUUCACAGUGCACUCCAGUCGGCAGCCCAGCGCUGCUGUGGGGGACAGCCAGUACUGUGGACGUGCUCAGCCAACCUGAUGUACUGUGGCCCAUCUCAGAGUUUUCAUUACCACCCUUAUUAUUGCUGAGUUCCUCUUCCAGGCACUUGGCUCCUAAGGUGACCACAUGGGGCCUGCCCUUCCUCCACGGUGUCUCAUAGUUAAUCCAUGGACCGGGAGAUCCCUCUUCAACAUGCACGGCCCCAGGGAAGCUCUGUUGUCAAAAAGGGCUGGAUUAAUUUUCCUGUGCAGUGGCCUUUGUCCAGGAGGGCCUGUCUGUUUGUUCAGGGAAUCACUGGUUGUAUCCUGGACCUGCCCUUUGGCAGUAUGGUGCGCCAAGUGGGAGCACUAGGCCAGCAUGCAUUUACUCUGAGAAAGCAGGUAGCACUACCACAUUUGAUUCAUGCAAUCAAACAUUCAUUCCGAUUUUAUUUGUGCAUGGGUCUAAGUGCACCGGGGACAGCAAACAGAAGGGAAGCCCAAGGUUGAAAGAUAAACAUUGACUCUUGCCUUCCAAACGGGCAGUAGUCUUCCAUUCACAGAAGUAAUUGUGAGGGAAAUUGGGCCAGAAGCUGCUUUGAUCACUGCUGGGUUUUAGUCUCGUACUCAUUAGCCCACUCUUGGAUGGAAGUGAUGGACUAUUGAGAAACACCCGAAUACAGUGUUUUUAUCAUCAGACAUUAAAAUGUGCCUGUUAGUGUGACAGCAGAAUCCGUUUCUCCCGUGCUUAUUGAAGUAGGUGGGGACGGGGUCUUAGCUCUGAUUGGAUGUGUGUCUAGAAACGACAGUUCUUUAUUGAGCAGGCAAAUUAAUAUAUCACCAUCACACAGAGAAUGUUGGGAAGGCUGAGGGUGUAAGGAAAAGUUAUUAAACUUACAAGAAUAUUGAAAGCAUGAGAAGGCAUGAGAAGGCCAUAUUAACGAUUUGAACUUGAUUAUUCUGACUGUAUUCUAAGCCCAGACUGUUGGAAGAAAAAGACGCAAGAUGAGAAAUGUUUGACAAAGUCAAGUUAGCAUCAGGCUGAAAUAUAUGGAAGCAGUGUGUAUCAAUAAAACAUUUUGGUCCUUUCUGGAAGAGGUGCCAGCCGGGCCAUGCCAGCCAGGCUGCUUGUGGUUUUGAGUCACCAUUGGCUGUUUGUGGCUUUUCUCACUCCAACCCCUCUCUGGGAAUUCCUCUGACACAGUCUACAAUUUCCCCCACAACCUUGUGCUUUAUUUUCUGAACAUUUGCUAGCUGCUUUCUCUUAAGACCCGGCUAAAAAUUGGUAACGAGUCCUCUUCUGACAGGGUCCCCCCACUGAGACCCGGCGGCUCCACAUUGGCAGCUAGAAGAGGCUUUGGGUAACCUGCUUCCUUCCUGUCUUCUGUCCAGGUUGGGUUUGGUUGGCUGCUCCCAGAGUCUUGCUGGCCCAGUGCCGUUUUGUCUAGCCAUUGUCACACUGAGGCUUCUGGUGUGAAGGAGGGUCUGUUCCUCCGAUUACACCUUAUCCUUCUAUUUUCCUUCCCACCCUGGGAUGUAACUGGUUACGUUUCUUAUGUUCAAUGGAUCUGAAGAUUAUCCAUGUUGAACUAUAAGGUGUUGGAACAUGGCUGAAAUCAACAAGCCUUCAACCAUAAAAAAGACUUCUGCACUUUAGUCAGAACCACAACACUAUUUGGGAAGGAAAUUUAACUCAACUCAAAUACAGGAAUACAGUAUUAUCUGCAAUAAGGCCUCACCCCAUUCUCCAUCUCUGUAGUACAUCCCCCUGUUUUAGAAAGGGUCCAAACUAUCAGAUAUAUGCCAUUUAUUGGAUUAUGCAUUCCCCACUGAAUUCCUGAAAUACAUCAGAUGAUCCUGGAGCAAACAUCUGGAUUUUAGCAAUUCUAAGUGAUGUUGAGAGUGUCAAGAAGGAAUGGGGCAGAUGGGACGGCUCUGCCAGAAAACUGCUUGCCCCGUAAUCUUGAGGGAAGCUGACUCUGCAUCUCCCAGUUUCCCCAUAAAAGCUGGGAGUGAUGGCGUAAGUUUGUAACUUCUGUGCUAGUGUUGGUGGUCAGGCCAUGGGCAUAGAUAGAUCCUCAGAACUUUUGAGCCAGCCAGUCUAGCAGAAUCAUUGAGCUCGUAGUUCAGCAAGAGAGCCUAUCUCAGAAAAUGAGGUGGCCACUGAGUAAUGGAGACUCCGUAUGUUAGUUUUUGGCCUUUAUAUGCUGGUACCCAUCCCCCAACAGUGUCAGAAAAAAAAGAAAUAGAGUGUGUUUGUGGCAUGCCAGCACAUAUACAAGUUGGCCAUCAUGCACAGAAGGGUUUUGAAUCCUGCUAGGAGACAGUAGAGGGGCCUGGGGAAAGCUGCUUGUGUGCAUGCACAGGUGUACAUGCACUGGAUCUUGAGGCCAGAGAAACCUAAAGGGGAUGACGCUAAAGUUUUCAAUCUGUAUGACUGAUGGAUGUAUGUGUCUAUUUUUCUUAACAAUAUGCGGUACAUGGAACUUCCAACUUCCAAACUGAUGGAUCCACAAUAAUGUGAACAUUAAUUUUUAUUUUUUCUUCAUAAUAUGGAUGAGCUACUUACAUAGAUUUCAUUAAUCAGCCUCUUUUCUAAUUACUGUCAGGUACGACAUUACCAUAAUUCACCUUUCCCAUGUCUACGGCAGACAUCACCAAUCAAUCACAAUACCGCCUCCCCCUGACUAUUGAGUUCUGCAUCUAAACUCUUAACUCAUAUGUCAGUAGUGUAUCAUCAGGUGUUUGAAACUGCUUUUUCAUCCCUUUGCCAAACAGGGAAUUUGGUCUCUGACAGAGAUUCUAUGUCUAACAAUGUUUUUAGUUGUGGUCAAUCCAAGCAUGGUAAAAAAAAAAAAGUAAUUAGAGAAGUGAAUGCCUCCUUGAAAAAAAUAUGUUUUUCCCUAUGGGGAUCUAAAUUCUUUGUAUUAUAGCUGUUACUACAGUCAGGAAGGAAGAGAAGGAGGAGGAAGAGAGCCAGGAGGAGGAGAAGGAGUCUCUGAAGUAGGAGGAGAGUCAGAAAGAGGAGAAGAGUCAGAAGGAGGAGUAGAAUCAGAAGGAGGAGGAAAAGAGUCAGAAGGAGGAGGAGGAGAAUCAGAAGGGGGAAGUAAAUCAGAAGAAGAGGAGAGUCAGAAGGAGAGGAGAGUCAGAAAGAGCAAGGGAAUUAGAGGAACAAUAACAAAAUUGUAAUUGUUAUUUUGAGGCCCCUAACAUUAGGAACUCUUACAUUGGCUUCACUUAAGGCUUUACCUUGAAGACAUGGGAAGAACACUGGCAGAAAUUUCCACAUCACUAAUGUCACACAUUUAUGUUUUCUAGCAGGGCUAGGAUGGUGACUGUGUUUCAGUAAAAUAAGUGUAGGGUUUCCUCCUCCAUUUUACUCCAGUGAUGUGUAGGGGCUUAUCGAUAAGUUCUCUCUGUGGAUCUGUCAGAAUUGAGCAUUGAGUGAGAAAGUGUGGUGUCAGAAAAUCUGGGCACCUUCUUCAUCUCUCAGAACAGUUCCGAGCUCUGCAGUAUUCCUAGGGCCCUAUUAUAGAUGGGUCAGGGAGCUCUCCGAAUGUUUAGGGAAUAUACAUCCAAGGUCAUGUGAUUAAAAUGGGGCAGAAAAUGCUUUCAGAACAUUCCAGUCUUUUCUGUGUAAAUUCAAAGUAGUGAGGAUGAUAUUUAAUAAUAUGUCCCAGUUAGUGAGGAUUAAACAUAUUACACAAAUUAACAAACAAACUCAUCUUCACUGUUUCCGAGAGAUAUUUUCCUCACUGUCCUUGUUUCGUAGGUAAGGAAACUGAGACAUGGCAUUCAGUAACUUCUCUCUGUUUAAUAAAUGAAGCAGUUGGGAUUAAUCCCACAUUGUCUGGCAUCAUUGAUUAUCUUUGUUAGAUAUCAAUACUAUAUCGCCAUUGUCAAUUGUAAUGCUCUAAUGGUUGUUUCUCUUUGUAUGUGAUUAUUUCUGUAGAUUGGCUAGUUCCCUGUCUGUGGCUAUGCUAGCACACUCCAACCACAAACGACUUAGGGCAGGAAAGGGUUAACUUGGCUAAUACUUCCUGGUUGCAGUCCAUUACUGAAGGGAAGUCAGUUGAGGUAAGCCCUCAAGCAGCUAGUCACCUCACAUCUGCAGCCAACAGAGAGACAAACAGAAAGACAAACAGAAGAGACCCAUGCAGCCUGCUUGAAGAUGGCCAAUGCUCAGCUGGCUGGCCCUCCACAUUCACAUACAGGUCUGAACCCUGUCCUUGAAAAAGCACCGCCCACACUCAGCGUGGGUCCUUCUGACUCCUGGGCCAUGAGGCCGAUCCCCAUCCCCGCCUGUACGCCUGAAGGUUGGAAACAGACAGGAAGGAGCAGGCUUUGCUGUCACAAGUCGCUGUUGUGUUCCUGUGUACCCACACCCACACUCCUUACCGGCUGGGCGCCUCAGGCUCAUGAGAGCAAUCCCAUCAGCAGCAAGACUGACCAGGGGAUUCAGGGCAGAUGGUUUAAUUUUAGGUUGUUUUCUUUUUUCCUUCUCCAAAAUCAGAAUAUUUUACUAUUCUCCAUGCCAAAAAAAAAAAAGUCAUUAUGUAUAACAAUAUCAAUUAAUUCCUUUAUUUUAAAGGUAUAUUUGAGGGCAUUGUGGGAAAGUCAUAUAUAUGUAUACAUAUACAUAUACAUAUACAUAUACAUAUACAUAUACAUAUACAUAUACAUAUACAUAUACAUAUACAUAUACAUAUACAUAUACAUAUACAUAUACAUAUACAUCUCCUUGCGCUUAUAUCUGUUUCCAGCUCUGCUCAUCUGAUUGGCUUGAUCAUAUAUCAGUGUUCUAUUCCCCUGUGGAACUAGGACUAAGCUUAUGUUAGUGGAUGUUUCCUAUGAUAAUCUAAGUGAAAGCAAAUCACUCUAAUUACCAAAAUCUGUCUUUGAUAAUAAAUUGAGAGAAGCGAGACAGAAAUAGCAUUUGAGUAAUGCUUUGCCCUUCUGUCUCUAGACCUGGAAACAAAUGUUCUGGAAUUGAUACAUUCUUAGUCCUUUAGGAACCAUGAAAAUAUGCUCUUAUGUAUAUAUGAAUUGGCCAGAACUGCAUAUUUAUUAAGAAGUGUGACCCUUAGGACCAGAGAAGUCAAAUUAAAUCUCAUAAAAAAUCUGCUAUGGAAAAUGAAUAAGUGACACCAUUUUUUUUCCUUUCAGGGUCUACUUAUUAAUUUUGUCAUGUUUAAUAUGUUAUAGUUGCAAACAAAGGCAUAAAUGUGUGCGUUCAUUCCUAAUUAAUUUAUGUAAUUGGGUUUUAUAAAUUUAGGUGUUUAGGAAGCUGUGCACAACACACCCCAUUUACUGUGUGCUGUAGCCAAUAAAUGCAUAAUAGAAAGAAAUACAGUUUGAAGCUCACUUCAGUGGUAAAUAUAGAUUAGUUGUAAAUGAUAUCUUUGUAAUGUUUAUUUUAAGUUUUGCAAUGCUGCAGAUUUUCUCAACAUACCAAUUAAUGUUCUUAUUUGAAAUAAUGAGUAGUUAAUGGCUAUAAAUUUGAAGUAUUCUGUCUCUGACAAUUAGAAGGUCUCUUAAAGCUUUUGUUCAGCUUUCCGCAUGCCCCUUGUAUAAGUAGCCGUCAGGCACCGGGGAAGGAAGGUAUACACUUAAAAUAUGGGGGAUAAUUUUAUGGCCCAUAUUUUGGGUGGCUUGUUUCAUAUACUUUGGUGCAUCUUGGGUGUGCCACUUCUGCGUGUGUGGGUGCUAAGGGUGUUAUGUGUGCACGCGUGUUAGUGUGUGUGGAGGCCAGAAGCCAACACUGGGCGUUGCUCCUUAAGUGUGCUUCGGGCUCAGCUGAACAGGCAGUUAGUUCAGGGAUCUGCCUGUGUCCACCUCCUCAGCCCCAGAAUUCCCAGUAAACUCCACUGUGCCCAGCUUGUUACCUGUGGGCCAGGUCCUCAUGCUUGGGCAGGAAGUGCUCUAGUAACCAGGCUCUCUGGCCAAUCCUAAUUUCUGUUUCUGUAACGUGUGCUUCCUUCCUAUUUUGUGCUAAAGAGGCAGUGAAUGAGUUGACAAAUCUGGAAGACAUCUGGGAAUUUUCCAAAUAGGUUGUAAAUGAUAACAUGUACAUUAAUACGCCGAGGCAAAACUAGUAAGCGUUUAUCAAGUCUGUUGUCGCGGUGUGAUGGUGACAUUGUGAUGGAGAUGUCAGUGUACUGGAAAGACUGUGGGCUUCAGCCUGGCCACGUGAAUGGCUUUGUCUUGUGCUACCGACAGCUUCCUCUUCUUUUCUGGGCAUAAACUCAGAAACCCGAUGCUGUGCACUUCCAAAUCCACGGCUUUGUCUGGUGUUCAGUCCUUCUUUACGGAUGUGUUUAAACAUCAGGAAUUGUGUCUAGCCAAGGUGAAACACCAUCCUCUUUGACAGACAGCGACACAAGGAGCACUUUGAAUACCGAGUUGCAUGCCUUUGAGACCUUGUUGGAUUCACUGCGUCCAUCGCAAACAUCCACCAGGGGAGGGCAGACGUGUGAGGCCAACUGAGUGUUCCUUUGUCCAUUCUGUUUUGUGUGUUACAGGUGAAAGGAGAAUGUUGGAUUUGCUUAUGAAAGUAAGCACUUGCAAGCCUUAUAAAAAAAGCAUUGAAUAAUCACAUAUAAGAAUAAAUACUGUAUGUGGAAUAAGUGUUGUGGAUCGUGUCUGUGAUGAAAUAUGCAUGCCUUUCCAAGGCUAAGACCCUCAUAAUUCAUUCAUAAGUUGCAUGCCUCACCUUACACACCGGUAGCAGAAUUGUAAUUUUCUUCAUCCUUUCUGAAGAUUUUGUCACAUAGGUUAAGGAACAAAGAAGAAAGGUAAACUUUUCUAAAAUAGCAGGAUGCUAUUGAGAGGUAACUGGGGGUAAGGGGAGGGGUGGGACUGUUAGAGAAAAGCCAAAAGUAUGUGUGCUGGGGGCUUGGAUUCCUGACGAUGCUGGGGCAAUGGUGUGUGGGCUGAAGUGGCAGGCGCCAAGCUUCGUGUGUUCUGUCAUGUCACGACAGAAAUCAUUACGAGCGUGAUAGGUUUAUUUAUAAAGGCUGGCUUCAAUAUUCAAAGUACAUCCAUCGCCGCAUUCCUCACUUCGAGCCAGGCUGUGGAUCAAGAUGAAAGAAAAAUUAAAUCGUGUAUUGAAGAGCUGUUAAUUGAGCUGUGCUGUAUUUAACGGGGAAGCACCGGCUUCGGGCAGUCGAUAGCACUGAGGGUUUUUUUAAUGUGCUGCAUCAUGAGACUGUCAGCUUGCUUUGGAGAAUGCAAACAGGGCUAACGACAAACCCCUGCAAACGCGAUCCUCACUGCUAGUCUCCUCAGAGAAAAGAACGUCCAUUCAUCUGCACACGCGACUCCACACGCACACGCUCAUGGGGGAACGAAGCCCCCUGUAGUUUCUCCCUGGAGGUCUAAUGACAUUACUUAGUCACUAGAAUGAGUCUUUUCUGGGGCACAUUUUAAGGUUUUUAGUGUGAGGCCUCAUACAAUCUUAGAUUUCCCCCCCUCCCCUCCUUAAUCAAUGUAAAUUCAAUUGCAUUUCAGAAGGGGAUAAAGGCUAUUUUCUCCUCUCUAAUAUCUGUUUAAAAAUGUUAGGCCUACUCUGUUAUAAUUCUCAAAAGUGGCCUAUCAGUGGUUUAAUACGUUAUCUCUUUUCUCUAAGGCAGUGUUAAUUUUCCUUUGUAGUUAAUCUAUCCUGCUACCAAAUUUAGUGUAUUUAUCGUUAAAGAUUCUCUUAAGCACUAAGUGAUUUAAGUACAUCUGGGAUAAAGUGUCCCUGACUUUAACUCUGAAACAAAUUUUACUUCUUUCAUUCUCUCCUCUGAUAAAUCCAUAGUAACCGGAGGCAUUUCUAGAACUCUGGACAAUUUGGGCUUCUAUGUUUGAUUAAAGAUAUUUUGGAUACCCCAACUGAGAAGCUGCAGGGGUUUAUUUUUGGUUCUGACCCUUCCACUGCUCAAUAGGAAGGACAGAGACUAUGGAUUUAGUUCUCAUGCGGCGGACUUCCCCUGAGUCCUCAGGAGCACUCCUUCUCAGAAUCUUCUUGUGGCUGUUACGUGGUGUCUCAUGUGAUAGGAAGUGCACAGACAAGACAUCAGGGGCUUUUCCCAUCUGUCUGACUGUCCGUCCAUCCAUCCAUCCAUCCAUCCAUCCAUCCAUCCAUCCAUCCAUCCAUCCAUCUUUUCAUCUAUUCACUUCUUCGUUAUGUCUGUCCUGGGGGCCUCCUUUGUUCUCAGCACUGCCCUUGUCACGUUGUUGGGCGUGGGAGGUUUGGCUGGGGGAGGUGACAUUUUAGCCUGGGUGCAGGAAAGGCCAGGCAGAUAGGAGGGCACAGCCCAGUAAAUCACCAGGCAUCUAGAAGGCUCCAAAGCUGUGGGCAGUUAAUGCUCUUGCAGCUACAUCUUUGAGACCUCUGUUCAGAUGCCCUGGGCAUAGUGGCAACCCGAGAGCUUGGAAAGAUAGAGAGUUCGGCUGUGCCCAGAGGCGAGAGCUAGUUCUGUUAGCAAGACUAUCAUGAGCUGUUUCAGGAGAGUUGAGGGUGCGUGUGGGAAUGCAGAUGGGAGGAUUGAGGAUGCCUAUGGAAAACACAGAUGGCUGAUGGGGAACCAGGAACAGACCAGGCUGUUCUGGAGUUAGUGUCAGCCUGGAGAGGAGAGAACAGCAGGAAAAGACAUGAAGAAGAGUUGUUUGGUGUUGUAGUUGAGGGGAAGUCACACAACAUUUGAAGAGUAGUUUAUUUACAGUCAUUUACAGGCAUCUGACCUCUCUGAACUUCUCUGUGAUGGAUGCUGCUGGCUAGAUGCCUUAUGUUCCCAGCACAUAAUCAUAGCUGACUAUAUGUAUCUGAUCUUCUUUAUUUAUUGGUCCAUUUUGAAAAGGUCAGAGAGGCUGACUGAAGGGCAGCCUGACAGAAGGCAUCCCUGCCCAGUCCCAACCUUAGUCCGGAGGCCAGCUUCUGGUGUAGCUGCAGACCUGUUAGCUGGCUGAUUUUUUGUUUGUUUGUUUGUUUGUUUGUUCUUGUUAGUCAGGACUGUCACAAAAGGCAGGCUCACUGCCUAGAAAAGAAGACUGCACUCUCACUUUGAAGGUAGAAGCUGAUGGUUAAUCCUGGUAGGAAAAGAAGUACCAGGCCAUGGUAACGAGGGUUCUAGGAGUACUCAGGUCCCAAGAAUGGUGGCGAUUUGCCAGGGCAAAAUGGAGUAAUGAGUCCUUCUUCGAUGACCUGCAGAGCAUGUCCUGGAUUCUACAGGCAGACUUUAUCUGGAUUUGAAUUUUGUAGAGAAGGGUGUGUCCACUUCUUCUAGGCCUCUCCUGGUGAGCUGCUGAGAGGCCUUCUCUCUCGAUGCAGUUCUAGUUUUAAUACAAGACAGACGAUGCCCAACAUGUCUGUGCCUGAGGAGCACAGGCGUUUAGAACAAACGACUUACGAGAGAUCCUAUAGCAUUAGAAGAGAAGCCAGCCAGAUGACAAAGAAUUGGGGCACAAUGAUGAACUUCUAGAGACAGACCCAGAUCUUUGUGAUGUCACACACACACACACACACACACACACACACACACACACAGAGUGUGCCUUAUUUCUUAACAGGAUAUUUGAGCAGAAGGGAGGCAGGGUCUUUUGUUCUUUAAGUUUGUCAGGGAUCCAGCCUGACUUAUUAAUCUCUAACACAGUUUCUGGUAGGUCUAGCACUAGGAAGGGAACAUGGAAGGCUAGUUACUUUUGUUUCCACUGCAGUUCAUACGUGGAGAAAAAUCUGUGGACAGAUUGACUUCGAAAGGACAGGAGAAUACAGCCCUACUAUGUGCCCUAAUGAAGCCAAGAACUGGGACAAUUGUGAGCAGAUGUUAUUGUCUGUCACACGUCAGUGGAAGUGGCAUCCAUUUUUAAUGUGACUGAGAAAAAUAAUUGGUUAGAUAUCGCAGGAUUUUUUUUUUUUUUUGGUAGAGGGUGAAAAACAGCUUGCAAAUGGGAAGGGGGGGUAAAAAGACCUGGUGUAGCCCCUAUAUUUUAAACAGAAGGAAAAGAUGACAUCGGGGACCAGAAACAGAAAUUUCACUUCUGUGCUGUGACAAAUACCAGGGAGAUGUAAUUGCAAAAUGAAGCUGCAAAUGUCUCAUCCAGGAGCCAGGUAACAACCUGCUUGGCUUCAUAAAGAAAGAAUAAUAUCCAAUUAGACUAAGUGUAUUCGGUACGUGAGUGACAAGCCCCGGAGACCUCAGGGCCUCUGGGGCCCCCAGGGCGGUUUCAGGAGGCUGUCUCCAGACCUGUCCGGGGCGUGAGCAUGUCACACUGUGCCCUGUGCCUCCCAGCACACUGCCACGGCUCUUCCGAGGAAAGAAAUGAGGUGCACAUUGGGUGGGGGUAUCUACCAUUCUCAACCAUUAGGACACAGGCCCUUUGCCCACCAGAUUAUCCUUGCUGCUCUGCUACUCAUGACCUGUGCAUGCAGGGCUUGUGGUAGGGGCCAUGUCCUCAGGUCUCAGAGUCCCUGUGUUCCCAAAGUCGCUGUGACUUCUCACGCUAGGGUGUCGAGUAUUGCAUAGGUCAGUUCCAAGUCCUGGCUUCAUCAGAACCUCCUUGUGUGACCUCUGACCAAGCACUGAUGCCCUGUAACUUUCCAUUUUCCAAAUCUUCAAAAUAUGGGGUGUAAUUGUUCCUCAUCCCUAGAGUCUUUGUAAGGGGAGGGUCUCGAUGAGCUCAGUGCUUGAGUCUCAGUGGGUGUCACAGCUAUGAUCAGUCCUCAUCACCAGCAUCUACAGCCCUGUCACCCUCUAUCCACUUGUAGGUUCUCCUGGACCCUAGACCUCCAGGAUCCUUCCUCAGUCAUACCUAUUGGCUCCACUAGUGAUGCUUUUAACUGCCACACUUAGAACUUGGUAAGAUCCCCGAGUCUACGGUGAAGUUGCCAGCCUUCUUCAGCAGGCAAGUCCAGGUCUCUGUUUAUCAGAACUUUUCAUUUCCAGCCACGCCCCCAGCAGGUUUAGCCUGCAUUCUCUUCAUGGUUUGAUUUAAUGGUUUUCGUUAGUGAGAUGCCUUGUUAGUGCAAAAGUAAGUUGACUGUGAAUAGUCAGUAAACUGUAGGGAGAGCCAAGCAAGCGCUCCCAGUGUCAGGCAAGAGGGGAGGGUGUGGCUCCAUGUGUUUUACUUUUAUCCUGAUGACAGAUUUGGCACUGCACCACAUUCAAACAGGUUUGUAUGAGAGAUGUCCUAUUGGAAGGUAUUUCAUGCAGUGUGGGGCCGUAAGCACCAGGCAAGCAAGCAAGCAAUUGUUUCACUCAUUCACACAGGAUGUUUUCAUGUGCAGAGGCCCAGGGAGAAGUCAUUCUGGAGGUUGUGGGACCUCAUCUUCUGUACCUGGCAGGUUCUGAAGUGGGUGGAGGAGCUGGGAAUGGAGUAUGGUCAAGCAACUACCCCAGUCUUCCAGAAUGCAGGAGCCAAUUCAGCUGGUUUGGAAUUUCAUCUGCCAAUUCGUUUCUUGAAAAUUUGGGAUUUCAGCUGUAGCCUCCUCUCCCCAGGGAAACAGAGGCAAAGGGUCCCACCUUACCCAACAACUCAGGUAUUUACCAUUCCCCUUCUCCCUCUCCUUGCUAUUUAGUUAUGUGGAUGGUUCACCAGAGCACCCAGGCAUGUGAGGAAGGCUAGGGCUGUUUGGGGCCAGAUGUCACAGCUUGCCUGUGUUAGACGACAACCAGUUCUUUAUCUGAUUCUCCUGUGAACCAGUAUGUAGACCACUUUCCUUCCCCGCAAGCCGUGGUGAUGUAAUGAAAUCUAUGAUCCUCACACUGAGGCUGGAAGGUUUUCUCCAGAUUCAUGAUUCAUAGAAUGGUCUUCAUUCCAGAAAGCAGAGGGGAAGGGGGCACUUGGGGGGCAAGUCCGUUCACAGGGUGUCUGUGUCUUCUCUGUGCUGUGGUGGUGCAAGGACACAUACCCACAGUCAUGUGCAGUCUGUGGAGACAGUGAUUUGUAUUCAUUAGAGUUUUUUUGAGUCUAAUUGUUUUAAAUCUGCCACUUUUGUUUGUUAAAGAUACGGAUGUCUGGCCAUAUAGGAAAGCGAGGUGAAUUUAUUGUUGCAAUUAGGUGCUUCACAAUUUGAAAACUUAUCACUUAAAUUGGUGGAGUGUCACUUUGCUGCAACUUGAUGUUCAGAAGUCCUCAGAGCCCAGGGCUGAUCUCACGUGCAAUUUAGCAAGAUCUCAGUGAGACGAGGCAAGUCGCACUUGACAAGACACAGAGAAACACACUGAGAUGGAUUUUUCCAAUGCCCUCCUCCAUGGUAGAGUAGGUGGAAGGCGGGUAGACCACAGAUUGAUUUCUGUGUGACUGGUAAGUUAAGUAGAGUGAAGUUUAAAAAAAAUAAGGACCAUUGGAUUUGAAGUUGCCUCAUGUCAGGAUACGCUGAAGAAGUUACUUAAUAUGCUAAUAUGAAUCUAGACGGACGAUGCUUAUUUCUCCCUCUAUGCUAAUUUGUGUUGUCUGCGUAUCUCUGCGCCAGGAGAACAAGUUGUCAUUUAUUACCACAAAGUGAUAUCCUCACAGUGUAAGAGAGAGAGAGCUAGCAAAACACACAGACUGGCAUCAACAACCAGCGGGAUCAGAAUCGACACAAGCUGCGUGUGUUUCGCAGCUGGGCUUCUCUUUAAUGUGACUUUAAACUGUCGCAGCCCCACGGUGAUGGAAGGGCCCUCAGAGCCUGUCCCCCCUGAUCAUAUUCCUCAUCUGCACAACUUAAUUCUUUAACUGGAUGCGUCUCAGCUUUGCAAAUGACAGCGUUCGUUGUUUUACAUUCUCCCCAACUUUGGGAAGAGUCAUUUGACUACCAGGUAAAUACAUCUGCACUGCCACAGGGGGAUGACGUGUCAGGGGUAGUGGAGACUCACCAUAGAACCUCCUCUACCCUUCUUUUUAACUCUCAUCUCAUUUAUUUAUUUAUUCAUUCAUUUGUGUGUGUGUGUGUGUGUGUGUGUGUGUGUGUGUGUGUGUGUGUGUACACUCAUAUUGGGGAAGAUGUCUGGAGGUUAUGAGGAUGGUUUGUGAGAAUCAGUUUUCUCCUUACCCAGGCGGGCUUCAGGGAUUCAGAUCCGGUCACCAGGGUCUUGACCACUGGGCCAUCUUGCUGGCCCGGUUUUCUCCCCUCUUGCUUUGUCCUUCCUCUUGACUGUGGUGAUGGCCGUGUGUGUCCACACAUCCGUUAAAAGCUGUUGAGUCGUACAUUUUAAGUGGGUGAAGCAUAUGUGAACUACAUCUAUCUGAAGCUGCACUAUUUUUAGAAAAAGUACCCCUUGAAUUGUCUUCAGUAGAAAAUGCUCUGGAGACUAUAUUUUGAUUAAUUCAAAAUUAAUUUAUGAUGGGUUCUCCAAUGGCAUGUGCAGACACGAGAGGUGUUUGCACAAGCUUAUUUGAGAUGUUCAUUCAAAUUCUCUACCAAAUGCUGCGUACAACAUGUUAUGGUUUUGCUUGGUAUGUUUUUCAGUUGGGGGUUAUAUAGUUUUUGGGGGUUGGGGUUAUAUUCGAUAUCAGCAGAUCCAAUGCGCUAUAUUAUGGAGUCAUCCAUCCACGCAGAAAUUAUAACAUUACCUUAUACUUCUGAUUGCACACACCGCCAUAUAUAGAGCUUUUCGAUGUCCCCUGUACAACUUUGCAAAGCAAACCAUGCUUGUUCAGUUGCAGUAACGACCAAACUGAACAACCCCCUGUGACAGUUGCAGCCUUUGGUCCCAACUAUAUGACAGGAGUGACUGACAGACAAGCCCCCCACACCUCUGUAUAUUCUGCUGCUUCCUCAGCAGCCUGCCCUUGAUUUUUUUUCCCCCCUCAGGUCAGAGGUUGGAAUCCUCAGUUCAUUUUUACCAUCCCGUUGAACUCAGCAGUCUCACGUUGUAGGUGUUUUAACCUGUGACUGUCUGUGAAUAUUCAUUCAUUUGAAGUGUGCUUAGUGUUUUGUUUUGUUCUUUUUUUCUGUAUGAUGCUGAGAGUGAGAAGGGCGUUUAUAUGUCCCAUGAUAUUGAAACGUUUCCAGGUCACCUGACGAAUGCUGAGGCCAACAGAAAGGCUGGGACAAUAAACAUCCCCACUCUGGAGUGUGAGAGCAGGCAGUGCAGCUACGGGCAGUGCGCGGCCAGGUGGGAGUGAUCUUCUCAUCAGGAACUGUUUUUUUUUUUUUUUUUUAUUAACUUGAGUAUUUCUUAUAUACAUUUCGAGUGUUAUUCCCUUUCCCGGUUUCUGGGCAAACAUCCCCCUCCUCCCUCCCCUUCCUUAUGGGUGUUCCCCUCCCAACCCUCCCCCCAUUGCCGCUCUCCCCCCAACAGACUAGUUCACUGGGGGUUCAGUCUUAGCAGGACCCAGGGCAUCAGGAACUGUUCUUACAUCUCUCUCUCUCUCUCUCUCCUCUCCAGUCCCGUCUCCUCUCCCUCCUUCCCUCCCCCUUCCCUCCCCACCCACUCCCUCCCUUCCUUCCAUAAACUCUGGUAGUUUCUUUUGGGCUCAUUCAAAUACCAGGAUUGAAAUUAUCUAUUGAAAACCUUAACUUUAUUACUAGAAGCUAGAAACCUUUAUCUAACGUGUUUUUAAUUUACUUCAUUUUGGCCUUCUCAUGCCACGUACAUUUAGAUUCCUUAAUUUCUCUUUCUCAUCUAAAUGUACAGCGAGUGUGUCUUCAAGCAGGUGAGCCCCGGAACUGGCUUUAUUUCUAUAUAUCAUACCACCAAGUUAAGCUUGAUUCAUUUGGAUUUUUUUUUUUUAAAUCUCCAGAGCUUUGAGAAUGACUUUGAAACGUUCUCUACUUUUGGAGCUUAGAGAAAAUAAAUCUCGAAUGUGCUCCUUAUUAAUUCACCUGCUUGGGAAGUAGAGAUUAAAGGGUUUGUUGGGGUUUUCAUAUUUUCUCCGAUUUCUGUUUGUACUGGAGCAAACUGCACUUUGCACGGAGUGGCUGAACCUUCAUAAAACACAAAGAUUCCAUUAUUGAGAUGUGGAGAACUAGGGGCAGGGCUGUGUUAUAAACAGGCCUAGAACUUCCCAUGGAGCUGUCCUGUGUGAGCCGUGAAGGACUUGGUACAGUAUUUAAUUAGGUGAGCAGUGGACUCAGAGUGGGACCAGAGGCAUUUUCUGAGGAAACAAAAGCUUUGCUUGGCUCCCCUCAGAAGGUAUUUUGAGUGGAGUAAGCGAAUAAAAGGGAGCGGAUAAGGAAGGGAUUUCCUUUGCAGAGAGACAGAAGCUGCUUCUCUACUCUUUCCUAUCCGGGGAUCUAGGAACCCAUGGCUGCUCAUCAGGUUCUCUGGAACUGAGAAAACGCAGGGCACAGCGCAGCCUUGCAGUCGCCUGGCCGCUCUCCCUGAUCUGGUGUUCCUGUGCCACCCCACAGUGGGAAAGCUUGUGAUUUGUUUUUGACACAUUUCUCUUUGAUUUCAUACUCUCAUUCAUACAGGUCUCGCCUUCCUCCAGUGCCUUCUUGGCACGGCCGACUCUGUGUGUUCAAUUUGGGUAAUUUUUCACUGCUCACUGAGUUUCCUUAAUACAUAAUCUCUUUCCUUAACACUUUCGCUGUCUUCCAAGCCAGCAGUAUAAAGAUGGCGCCAGAGGGGUGGAACUUAAACCUUGUGCCAAGACCAGAAAGGUCAAGGUUCACGAGGUCCCCAAACACCCCACAGAUUUACAUCACUGGCCUUCCCUCUGCAGGCCGCCAGUGUAGAACAUUCACGAUUCACCAGAAGUCAUGGUGUGACUUGGAGCAGUGGCCUUAUUUUCUUUGCUUGAGGGCUAAGAUGGCCACAGGGAAAGAAGCCGGCCAGAUCCUAGAGGGCCAAGGGGGCAACACUGUCUCUUAGAAAGCUUGCGGGAAGCCAAGAGUUUUACAGCUCAUUACCAACAUGGAUUUAUUCAGGGCCAGGGGGCCCUACCUGCACCUUAUUAGAAGUGAGUUUGGCUGUGACAGCAUGGGAUGAGAGUGAGGAAGGGAGGGAGGAGGAAAAGAGCCCCACCAGGUACAACAUAGCUUGGGAUAGAUAACAGGUCUAGAAUCUUUCAUGUCCUAUAAAGGACGUGCCGAUCACUAGCUGAGAGGAAGGUGGGGAAGGAAGACGCGGCAAGCAACAGUCAGCUUCUUUGUAACGAAAGGGUGAAAAGACAUCUCUUUUUUUGCAGACACGUUGCUGGCGGGACCUGUUAACUUUAGGCGUAGGCCAAGUGUCAAGCCUGGAGAGAGACGACCAGUGAGCAGCUCCCUCCUGCCAUUUAAUCAGCCCGCUGCUCCUCCGUAUUUAUAGCCCUGGAGAGGUCGGCCCAUUGUUAGAAGGCUGAAUUGUGAUACUCAGCAGUUUACUCCUUAGGAGCUGGAAGCAUUUCUCCAUGGUGAAUUUGUAAUAUUAAUUGGCCAUGUCAGCUCAUGACAAAUGUAGUGACAUCUAUUUCAAGUAUUUCAGUUUUAUGGUGCUGAAAAAGUGACACACGCUCGAGAUAAGUAAUCUCACAAAAAAGAUCUUCGCACUCGCCGGUAUGGUGCUUCCAGAAUGCUCUCAGAGGAGCCGCGUGUAGGCUCUGUGUUCCACGGGCUGUCCCCUUCCUUUGCUAAGGCUGAGGGGAGAAGGAAGGAGGCGUACGGCCUCUGGAGAUUCUGGCCGAGUUCUUCUGGAGACCGAAGCUUGAAGGAACACUUGUGACGCAGUUGUUACCUGAUGUGGGUCGUGCUGCUGCUUGGUCAGACCUGUCAGGAUAAGAUAGGAGUGCCUUUCUCAAUGUGUGGUUGGUUAUUAGCCAGAGUGACUCCACACCUCUUCCUGACCUAAGGGGUUACCUGACCACAUCUGGAUCUAUUUUGGUUAUCAUACUUUAGAGAAGAAAGGGUUUCUAGUUGCAUUCAGUGUAUUGGGAAUGUUGCAGUGAUCAGCCUGCUCCGAAAGACAGAAACACCAAGGCUAAGAGAGCCCGUGCUCACGUGGAAUGUGUCCCUGGCACUUCUAAACGCAGCAUAGAUGGUCAGUGGCACACUGGGCGUAGGAGGAUAAAGGAAGCCAGCAAGCCACCAAAUGAAGGGACUGGAGAUGGGGAAAGUGUCCAGGACACCCUGGUGUCCACACAGGAGUCAGGAGAUCAGCAGGAAGGCAGGGUGUUGGAAUUCCGUGCAGAGACCUGGCGGGAGGGUGCCUGUGCCCCAGCUGUGAGGACACAUCUGCUAGUGUAGCUGGGAAACGGUUUUCAUGUGGCUAGUGUGACUGCAGACUCCAACACUGCAGGGCAGCAACACUACAGCUCGAAUGGGCAGAGCACGGCCUCAGAUGUAGUGCUGUUCUGUGGUAGAGGAAGAAGCUGAGGUCUAAAUGGGUGAAGCUGUGUGCAUUUAUCAGUAGAAGGACGGGGACCAGAAGAUCUCUGCACAAUCUCCCUUCUUCAUAAAGAGUAGGCCAUUUUGAGAUGAUCACCCCAAAUUCUAUCGCGAAUGCUAGUGCUUGUCCACAAGAUUCUUAAUAAAUAAAUAAAUAAAUAACUAACUGACAGGCCCCAAAGAAGGAAAAUAGAUCUGUUUGGGAUUCUGCCCUUUCUUCCUCAGCCUGUGUUACUAACUCCAUACAGAAAGAUGUUUAAUAGCUGCCCGGCAUCCGAAUGGAAAUGCAGCCAUCAUUUAUCUAACCGAUCCCCAGUUGCUGGAGAUACAGGCUGUCCACAUCCUUUCCCUCCCUUGUGAAGGGAACAGCAGCAAAAGCACACAGCAGCCAGCAGUUUGUAGGCCUGCUCCUUCCAGGGUAAGACCCUCUGGCGGUCCUGAGGUAGCCUAUUCACUCACCCCCUUGAAAGAUGGCAAUGCAAUCUCCAUGUCUUCCCUGAGAACCAGGCACAUUUACCAAUCAAGGCUGUGAAGGGAAAAGCUGGAAGGCCUCUCCCUGUGUGCUUCCUUCAUUGUUAGCGAAGCUGAACUCUUUUUUUGUGGAUUUAUUAAUACUUUUUAUUCUGUAGAUAGCCUUUUCUUGUCCUGGGUUAAUAUCUAUCUGGAUGACUCUACAUUUAUGGACAAUAAGGACGUUUGCAUAUCUGGGUACUAAGAUGUUAGCAUAUUUCCAUACUUGGGUCUUAAGAUGGUAGCCAUCACUGAGUCUCUCACGAGGAUUUCUCACAGACAUUUUUCUUUUCAUUUUAUGUUCGAAUCCAGUGACCAGCCUCAGCAGCUGUGCUCUCUGCUGCUUGUUUGUUUGAAAACACUUCCUUUGUGACAUCCAGUGCACUUGCAUGCCUUUGGUUAGCCAAUCCCCAAGCCCCCUUGUUUAGUCCUCCCCUACCCCACCCCUCC